rnacentral:lncRNA from 14 species
CCUGUUGUUGUGCAUCUAUGAGAAAAAUCCAGCUCUGUGGGAUCAUCCAUACACCUGCACUGCCAAGCAAUAUAAGGGAAUCACAGCUGAGCAAAUAUAAAUAAAGAGUUUUUCUGGAAGCAGUUUAAAAUGAAAUAUGAAGUUGAUCCCAUCAAUGGACAGCAAUACUUUUAUUGUCCCAUCAGAAGUCGAAAAGGACCCCAACAGCACCACAGGGGAUAGCACCAAAUCCUUGCAGCAGCAGCUCAUUUAAAAGCAGUGGUACUGCUCACCUACCUCUUGCCAUCCUGGCAAAGGGAGAUGGACUUGUCAUGCUCCUCGAAGAACCUGGGCUACUGAUGUAAACUGAUGGUGGUGUUGGAAGAAGAGCAAAGGCACCAGCUGCUUCCAAAGCCAAAGCUUAGCACAAGAAAAGCAGAAGGGUAGCUGAUGCCAUCUCUCCAAAGAGGCUGACGUCUAUUCACCUGGAUGAAGAUAAGCU